GGAUAUUAUCAUAUCAGCACUAAAGCACCAGAAGUUAAGCGUGCUUGGGCGAGAGUAGUAUUAGGAUGGGUGACCUCCUGGGAAGUCCUCGUGUUGCAUUCC
rfam:Triticum aestivum genome assembly, contig: Triticum_aestivum_CS42_TGACv1_scaffold_049470_1BS